GACGAACGCUGGCGGCGUGCCUAAUACAUGCAAGUUGAGCGCUGAAGGUUGGUACUUGUACCAACUGGAUGAGCAGCGAACGGGUGAGUAACGCGUGGGGAAUCUGCCUUUGAGCGGGGGACAACAUUUGGAAACGAAUGCUAAUACCGCAUAAAAACUUUAAACAAAAGUUUUAAGUUUGAAAGAUGCAAUUGCAUCACUCAAAGAUGAUCCCGCGUUGUAUUAGCUAGUUGGUGAGGUAAAGGCUCACCAAGGCGAUGAUACAUAGCCGACCUGAGAGGGUGAUCGGCCACAUUGGGACUGGAACACGGCCCAAACUCCUACGGGAGGCAGCAGUAGGGAAUCUUCGGCGAUGGACGAAAGUCUGACCGAGCAACGCCGCGUGAGUGAAGGAGGUUUUCGGAUCGUAAAACUCUGUUGGUAGAGAAGAACGUUGGUGAGAGUGGAAAGCUCAUCAAGUGACGGUAACUACCCAGAAAGGGACGGCUAACUACGUG
rnacentral:rRNA from 1 species